CCUACGGGAGGCAGCAGUGGGGAAUAUCGCACAAUGGGCGAAAGCCUGAUGCAGCAACGCCGCGUGAGUGAUGAAGGCCUCCGGGUUGUAAAGCUCUGUCUUUUGGGACGAUAAUGACGGUACCAAAGGAGGAAGCCACGGCUAACUACGUGCCAGCAGCCGCGGUAAU
rnacentral:rRNA from 1 species